UGGGGAAUAUUGGGCAAUGGGCGCAAGCCUGACCCAGCCACGCCGCGUGAGCGAUGAAGGCCUUCGGGUUGUAAAGCUCUGUGGGGAGGGGCGAAAGGCAGGAGUGCUAAUAGUACCCUGUUUGGCGGUACCUCCUUAGCAAGCACCGGCUAACUCUGUGCCGGCAGCCGCGGUAAGACAGAGGGUGCAAACGUUGCUCGGAAUUACUGGGCGUAAAGCGCGUGUAGGCGGGAAGAUAAGUCGGGUGUGAAAUCCCUGGGCUCAACCUAGGAACUGCAUCCGAAACUGCCUUUCUGGAGUGAUGGAGAGGAAAGCGGAAUUCCCGGUGUAGAGGUGAAAUUCGUAGAUAUCGGGAGGAACACCAGUGGCGAAGGCGGCUUUCUGGCCAUCAACUGACGCUGAGACGCGAAAGCGUGAGGAGCAAA
rnacentral:rRNA from 1 species